UACAGAGGUCCCGAGCGUUGUUCGGAUUCACUGGGCGUAAAGGGUGCGUAGGUGGCGAGGUAAGUCGGAUGUGAAAGCUCGGAGCUCAACUCCGAAAUGGCAUUGGAAACUACCUUGCUCGAGGGUUGGAGGGGGGACUGGAAUACUUGGUGUAGCAGUGAAAUGCGUAGAUAUCGAGAGGAACACCUGCGGCGAAGGCGGGUUGCUGGGCUGAUACUGACGCUGAUGCGCGAAAGCCAGGGGAGCGAACGGG
rnacentral:rRNA from 1 species